GCUAUAUCAUGUUGAAACACCAAUUCUCAAACGAUCACUGAAGUUAAGCAACAUCAAGCCUGGUCAGUACCUAGAUGGGUGACCAUUUGAGAAUACCAGC